AGUUUGAUCAUGGCUCAGAGUGAACGCUGGCGGCAGGCCUAAUACAUGCAAGUCGAACGGCAGCACAGCAGAGCUUGCUCUGUGGGUGGCGAGUGGCGGACGGGUGAGGAAUACGUGGGAAUCUGCCCAGUCGUGGGGAUAACGUAGGGAAACUUACGCUAAUACCGCAUGCGCCCUUCGGGGGAAAGCCGGGGACCUUCGGGCCUGGCGCGAUUGGAUGAGCCCACGUCGGAUUAGCUAGUUGGCGGGUAAAGGCCCACCAAGGCGACGAUCCGUAGCUGGUCUGAGAGGAUGAUCAGCCACACUGGAACUGAGACACGGUCCAGACUCCUACGGGAGGCAGCAGUAGGGAAUAUUGGACAAUGGGCGCAAGCCUGAUCCAGCCAUGCCGCGUGAGUGAAGAAGGCCCUCGGGUUGUAAAGCUCUUUUGUCCGGAAAGAAAAGCGCCGGGUUAAUACCCUGGUGUCCUGACGGUACCGGAAGAAUAAGCACCGGCUAACUUCGUG
rnacentral:rRNA from 1 species